GAUGAAGAACGCAGUGAAAUGCGAUAAGUAAUGCGAAUUGCAGAAUUUCCGUGAGUCAUCGAAUCUUUGAACGCACAUUGCGCCCAUUGGCAUUCCGAUGGGCAUGCCUGUUCGAGCGUCAUUAUCCUCCCUCAAACCCCUGGGUUUGGUGUUGGACUGUGUGGUGCCUGGCACCACUGGUCUCAAAGACAAUGACGGCGUCCGUGGGACCCUCGGUGCAACGAGCUUUUCGAAGCACGCGUCGAGUGGACAGUCUCUCCGGGCCGGUCACCUCUCCAAUUUUUCUCAGGUUGACCUCGGAUCAGGUAGGAAUACCCGCUGAACUUAAGCAUAUCAAUAAGCGGAGGA
rnacentral:misc_RNA from 1 species